UCCAAAGGAAUGAGAUCAUUGAGGUGGACC
rnacentral:piRNA from 1 species